UUUCUGUUUGCAAUUUGUCAUUAAGUUAGUCGGUCGUGAGACUUUGGUGCGAGUGGGUCGUUUUUAAAGUUAUAAACGGAGUGUGUUAUUUUUUAAUUUUAUACUUUAAAGUAUAAAAAAAGAAUUGUUUCUUAUAUUUGCAAUUUUCAUUGCCGUGCAAAAAUAAGACAAUUUCUUUUACAAGAGGAUUUAAAUAAUAAAAUCAAAAGAAAAAAAGAAAAUCUAAACGCUAAAAGAAAAAACCACAAAAAAAGUUACGUCAAACAUUUGGAUUUUUAUAAAAUCAAAAAAAGGUAAGUGAAGCAAAUUAAAACCAAAGAACACAUGUCUUUUGGUAACCAAGAAAAAAAAUAUUCAAUAGAAAUUAAUUUGCAAAAAAGGACGUGUGGAAAAAUCAUAGACACACAUUGACCUUUAAAAUAAACUUGAAAUAGUUUAAAAUAAAUCAUAUCACCGGUUUUUGUUUUAAAUAUU